rnacentral:rRNA from 1 species
UACGAAGGGGGGCUAGCGUUGUUCGGAUUUACUGGGCGUAAAGCGCACGUAGGCGGAUCGUUAAGUUGGGGGGUGAAAUCCUGGAGCUCAACUCCAGAACUGCCUUCAAUACUGGCGAUCUAGAGUCCGGAAGAGGUGAGUGGAACUCCUAGUGUAGAGGUGGAAUUCGUAGAUAUUAGGAAGAACACCAGUGGCGAAGGCGGCUCACUGGUCCGGUACUGACGCUGAGGCGCGAAAGCGUGGGGAGCAAACAGG